AGAUUCUAAAAGCGUUCUUUCAAUUGUGGCUGAACUAAAACCCCUAGAGAUAGAUCCUUUAUCCCCUAAUGCUAGCCACUUGAUGGAUGAUGAGGAACAUGGCCGAGAUAGUGAUUCCCAAUUCAUGAAUGAAGAUGGCGAGCUAUGAAGAAAUCUUGCGAAUGUGUGUUUGAUGUCAUGGACUCAUGAAGACAUUGAAGAACUUAUAUUGUGUCCAUAUGUGUGUGUCCGUGUGUGACUGAGACUAUUAUUCUCUUAACUAUUAUUGUGUCUGGACUGAAUUUAUGUAAGUUUACUUGUUGGAUUUGGAUUUGUGCUAUGUGCUCAUGUACUAUUGUGGACUUAUUUUCUUGUUGUUCAAUGGCUAUGUCGGUGGACUUAUUUUCCUGUUGUUCAA